rnacentral:rRNA from 1 species
UAUUAACGCGAAAGAACCUUACCUACCCUUGACAUGUACGGAAUUCCGCUGAGAGGUGGAAGUGCCCGAAAGGGAGCCGUAACACAGGUGCUGCAUGGCUGUCGUCAGCUCGUGUCGUGAGAUGUUGGGUUAAGUCCCGCAACGAGCGCAACCCUUGUCCCUAGUUGCUACGCAAGAGCACUCCAGGGAGACUGCCGGUGACAAACCGGAGGAAGGUGGGGAUGACGUCAAGUCCUCAUGGCCCUUAUGGGUAGGGCUUCACACGUCAUACAAUGGUCGGAACAGAGGGUUGCCAAGCCGCGAGGUGGAGCCAAUCCCAGAAAACCGAUCGUAGUCCGGAUCGCAGUCUGCAACUCGACUGCGUGAAGCUGGAAUCGCGUAGUAAUCGCGGAUCAGCAUGCCGCGGGAAUACUACUA